AUUGAACGCUGGCGCCAUGCCUUACACAUGCAAGUCGAACGGCAGCACGGGGGCAACCCUGGUGGCGAGUGGCGAACGGGUGAGUAAUAUAUCGGAACGUGCCCUGGAGUGGGGGAUAACUAGUCGAAAGACUAGCUAAUACCGCAUACGAUCUACGGAUGAAAGUGGGGGAUCGCAAGACCUCGCGCGAUUGGAGCGGCCGAUGGCAGAUUAGGUAGUUGGUGGGGUAAAGGCUCACCAAGCCGACGAUCUGUAGCUGGUCUGAGAGGACGACCAGCCACACUGGGACUGAGACACGGCCCAGACUCCUACGGGAGGCAGCAGUGGGGAAU
rnacentral:rRNA from 1 species